UCUUUAGGAGAGUCAUUCUAGAUUUAUUGUCCCAUAACAAUCUUUAGCUAAUAUAUUACUGGUUUUCUUUUGGGUUGGCAGACCACACUUUUGGAUUACAUCAGGAAAAGCAAGGUGGCAGCAUCUGAAGCAGGUGGAAUUACUCAAGGCAUGGGGGCAUACAAGGUACAAGUACCUUUUGAUGGCAAGCCACAGACUUGUGUUUUCCUUGACACCCCUGGACAUGAGGCAUUUGGAGCAAUGAGAGCUCGUGGAGCCAGAGUAACAGACAUUGCUGUUAUUGUAGUUGCUACUGAUGAUGGAAUUCGACCUCAAACAGAAGAGGCCAUUGCUCAUGCCAAAGCAGCUGGAGUGCGAAUUGU